UAGGGAAUCUUCCACAAUGGGACGAAAGUCUGAUGGAGCAACGCCGCGUGAGUGAAGAAGGGUUUCGGCUCGUAAAACUCUGUUGUUAAAGAAGAACAUAUCUGAGAGUAACUGUUCAGGUAUUGACGGUAUUUAACCAGAAAGCCACGGCUAACUACGUGCCAG
rnacentral:rRNA from 1 species